AGUCCAUGACUAAUAAGAAGGAAUAGAUUCCAGCUUACUCCCCCUUGUGCUUGACCUUCAAGAGUAACGGGAACUUUAACUAGACGGAGUCCUAGAUCUGCGCAGUGGAACAAAUUAAUAAGGGAGUCUGGACCGGUUCUUCAGUUGCUUCCUGGCUGUACCUCUCUUCACCUGGCCUGACCCUGCACACUAGAAAGAUGCUCCCAGCUGAAAAUAUCCACUUACUUGCAGAGAUUUUUCACAUGGCCCAGCACGCAACAGCCAAGACAAGACUGUCCAGAAAUAUAUUUUCACUGAAGCAUAAUGCAUAGCAUGCAUAUAUGUUGGCAAAAAAGAGAAUCAUGCUUUCUGUCACACUCUCUCCUAUACUUCAAUGUGAGAUGUAAAGGUUCAUGAAAUCUAGGAGAUACUAAUUGCAGAGUUUGGGAUCUAAUAGGAGUCACAUUUAGGGAAUAGGAUUUCAGUUCUUUAUCCAUGUAACGAGAUUUUCAUUGUGAGGGAAGCAACUAUUUCCUAAGGCUGAAGGCUUCGCUUAGUUUGGUUUCACUGAUCUACAUUUGUCUUCCAGGCACCUUAGAAACAACAAAAGUUUUUCUUCUCCAAAUGCACCCACAGCUGGUAGACUUGCCAUCUCCCAGAGGGUAUACCUAUGCUCACUGCACUGUUCAGUAAACACGCACAUUCAGAGCAUAAAUAUACACGAAUUAUAAUUAACAACUCACUAACCAGUCAUCAUGUCUCUGUAUACUUUAUCACAGCUAGAGUUUCCACCCUUGUUUUUAUAGUUCCAGGAUCUCAAAUAGAUAAACUUUCAGAGAGCAGUAAGGGAAACAUAAGGCAGUCAAAGGAACAGCUAAAGCAAUGGUAAGACAAAAUAUGUAAUUUGCAGCCAUUUAGAUUUAACAUCUGAGAUUUUCUGAGGCCCAGUACUUCAAGGGUUUGUCUAUCAGCAGGAGCAUAAGCUUUCAAUACUUUAAAAAUUAUAUCUGAUCCUUUACUAAGUGCUGGGGCAAUCUGUGUAUUUGUGUAUUGCAAACUUUAAAUGACAUAAAUCAAAGCUGACAGCCUAAAAACACUAUCACUGAAGAACUUAAAAUCCAUAAUGUUCUCAUUUCAAUGCCUCCAUAGACCCCCUUUCCAGAUUUGAUGGAAAGACUGCUCUGCAGCUCUAUGACUCUAGUCUGAAAAGCCAAUGCUUUGUGGUAAGACUGACAGGAUAUGAUUAAUGUUGUUAAAAAUGUAUCAGCAUAUAUUAGGGCAAACUUUGUGUAUCCAUCCAGGCCAAUCAAAUUGUCCAUUAUCAAAUGAGGUAAGAAAAUAAAUAAGAGGCUUUCAUUGUCGCAUUCAGAUUUUCCGAUUACAUUUAGUUUUGUAACAUCAUUUGCUAUCCCCUGUUACAUUUCUUUAGAACUUAUUUGGUCUCUGAAACACGAAAAGGCUGAACAUCAGUCAUGUUGAGGGAAAAAUACAGAACCUAUGCAUAAAGUUGGGUGUCAGAAAGAGUAGAACACUGUCCUUUAACAAAAAUGUUCUUGGUUAAAAUGUCUCUACUCUGUCUGCAAAUGCACCAGAUAGUUGAAAUGCUGUCCUCUGGACAUGCUUCAUUUUCCAUCAGCUACCACUAGAAGGCCCGCCAGCUACAGCUGGACAAAUUACCAUGGGUAUUACUGCUGUUAGACACAUAUCUUAUUUGAUUUAGGCAGUCUGUUGUGCACUCUGCCUUCUCGUCCCAUUCUGUGAGCAGAAGCACGCAGAAUUGCUGCAUCUGAACCAUAUUUGCCUUGAUGGGAGAAAGACUGUCAAAGGUGUUAAGAGUUCAAAGACCUUGACGUAAGUACCUGUGUUAACUGAAUUUAACUGUAAAGGAAGAGAUUAGUUCCUGGAGGUAACUGAAAAUGACCUUGAAAAGGAGAUGUUUACAGAAACCAGGCAGCAAGCACUAAAAUAAGCCUAAGGAUGAGACAACUGUGAUGAUGUGUGUUGACUGAGACACAGUGAAUCUACAAGGAAAGUGUGGAUCACCAUGAAAUAAGAAAUUGCUGUUGGCAUGAACUAUAAAAAGGAACCACAGAUAAAGACAUGGACACCUGACAUUUUGCUAACCCUUUUCAUGUUAACACCCUAUAGUUCAGAUCCCUCCAAAGAUCCUUAGGUGUGAGCUAUCCAUUUCCAGAGGAUUAUUCUCAACAUGUAAAGCUGAGUUUAUGGAGGAUCAUGGCCUUUGAGAAUAACAUAUCUGGGCAUUAAUGCUUUAAUGAAAUAUAACAAAUUUUUAAUAUAACAAAUCAUAAAUUCUGUGAUCUAUUACUGUACCAUUUUGAAACAUUAUCAGGAAACUUAUUUAAUAGCAAUGACCACACUACAUGGAUUUUCCUUCCUGGACUCCUGCAAGAGUCCAUAAGAAAGUUUAUUUCAGGUCACAAUGCCCAUAUAAAAAUUGGACUAGAACUGAAGACUGCCGUGCUGGGUUAUUAUAUACCAUUAGUAGAUGACUGCAAUUUGAAGAUCAGGUUCUAUUUCAGGCAUGUCUGAAACUGAAGGCAUGUCUGUAAUCAAAAUUCCUUUGAAUAUUUAUACUUCAUUUCCUUUUCUUGGGUCUGUUUUUCAGACUAAUCCAUCAGAUUUAGUCUAGAUUUAGAUUUCAGUGCCCUUUUACUAGGAUAUGGGAGUUUUGGUUUAAGCUUCUUUUGUCCUUCUUCCUAGACAAAAUUAAUAUUGUUUUUUAUGUUCUUUGAAUUAGAUACUUGGCUUUGCUGUCUGGGCAAAUUUUGUUCUGAGGUGUUUUUAUUUUGAAGUAAAAUUAAUGGAAACUGUGUGAAUAAAUGUCCGAAUGU